rnacentral:rRNA from 1 species
UUGUUGGUAAGGUAAAAGCUUACCAAGGCUUCGAUCAGUAGCUGGUCUGAGAGGACGACCAGCCACACUGGGACUGAGACACGGCCCAGACUCCUACGGGAGGCAGCAGAGGGGAAUUUUGGACAAUGGGGGCAACCCUGAUCCAGCCAUGCCGCGUGAGUGAAGAAGGCCUUCGGGUUGUAAAGCUCUUUCAGCCGGAACGAAACGGUUACGGUUAAUACCCGUGACUACUGACGGUACCGGAAGAAGAAGCACCGGCUAACUACGUGCCAGCAGCCGCGGUAAUACGUAGGGUGCGAGCGUUAAUCGGAAUUACUGGGCGUAAAGCGUGCGCAGGUGGUUUUGUAAGUCAGAUGUGAAAGCCCCGGGCUCAACCUGGGAACUGCGUUUGAAACUACAAGACUAGAGUGUGGCAGAGGGGGGUGGAAUUCCGCGUGUAGCAGUGAAAUGCGUAGAGAUGUGGAGGAACACCGAUGGCGAAGGCAGCCCCCUGGGUCAACACUGACGCUCAGGCACGAAAGCAUGGGGAGCGGACAGGAUUAGAUACCCUGGUAGUCCAUGCCCUAAACGAUGUCAACUAGUUGUCGGGCCUUUACGGGCUUGGUAACGUAGCUAACGCGUGAAGUUGACCGCCUGGGGAGUACGAUCGCAAGAUUAAAACUCAAAUGAAUUGACGGGGACCCGCACAAGCGGUGGAUUAUGUGGAUUAAUUCGAUGCAACGCGAAAAACCUUACCUACCCUUGACAUGUAUCGAAGCCCGCAGAAAAGCGGGGGUGCCCGAAAGGGAACGAUAACACAGGUGCUGCAUGGCUGUCGUCAGCUCGUGUCGUGAGAUGUUGGGUUAAGUCCCGCAACGAGCGCAACCCUUGUCAUUAAUUGCCAUCAUUUAGUUGGGCACUUUAAUGAGACUGCCGG